rnacentral:tRNA from 2 species
GGAGAGGUGCCGGAGUGGUCGAACGGGGCGGUCUCGAAAACCGUUGUACUCUCGCGAGUACCGAGGGUUCGAAUCCCUCCCUCUCCGCCA